rnacentral:rRNA from 1 species
CACGUGGUAUCCUGUCUGAAUAUGGGGGGACCAUCCUCCAAGGCUAAAUACUCCUGACUGACCGAUAGUGAACCAGUACCGUGAGGGAAAGGCGAAAAGAACCCCGGCGAGGGGAGUGAAAAAGAACCUGAAACCGUGUACGUACAAGCAGUGGGAGCACGCUUAGGCGUGUGACUGCGUACCUUUUGUAUAAUGGGUCAGCGACUUAUAUUCUGUAGCAAGGUUAACCGAAUAGGGGAGCCGAAGGGAAACCGAGUCUUAACUGGGCGUUAAGUUGCAGGGUAUAGACCCGAAACCCGGUGAUCUAGCCAUGGGCAGGUUGAAGGUUGGGUAACACUAACUGGAGGACCGAACCGACUAAUGUUGAAAAAUUAGCGGAUGACUUGUGGCUGGGGGUGAAAGGCCAAUCAAACCGGGAGAUAGCUGGUUCUCCCCGAAAGCUAUUUAGGUAGCGCCUCGUGAAUUCAUCUCCGGGGGUAGAGCACUGUUUCGGCAAGGGGGUCAUCCCGACUUACCAACCCGAUGCAAACUGCGAAUACCGGAGAAUGUUAUCACGGGAGACACACGGCGGGUGCUAACGUCCGUCGUGAA